rnacentral:rRNA from 1 species
UACGAAGGGGGCUAGCGUUGCUCGGAAUUACUGGGCGUAAAGGGCGCGUAGGCGGAUGUUUAAGUCGGGGGUGAAAGCCCGGGGCUCAACCUCGGAAUUGCCUUCGAUACUGGACAUCUUGAGUACGGGAGAGGUGAGUGGAACUCCGAGUGUAGAGGUGAAAUUCGUAGAUAUUCGGAAGAACACCAGUGGCGAAGGCGGCUCACUGGCCCGGUACUGACGCUGAGGCGCGAAAGCGUGGGGAGCAAACAGG